rnacentral:misc_RNA from 1 species
UUGGGUGGUGGUACAGAGGU